rnacentral:lncRNA from 1 species
ACAACAACAACAACAAACACCUGAAAUCUCAGAUGAUUUUUUUUUUGAUAAAAGAAUUUUUUUUGGUAAAAGAAAAGGUGGUUUCACCUCUUUGUCGGAAUCCAAGCAUUGUAAAUAGUUUAUCUCAACGUGAAUUAAACCCAUGUGGCGGUAGUUGCAGCCGCAACCCCUUUACCAUUGGACCAACUCAACAAUGGUUCUCAGAUGAUUUCUUCUCCAGCCUCAGUAACCACAGUUACCAAACUAGAGGCUUUAAGCAGUGAAUAUGUCUGAGGUUAUCAGGUUUAAUUCUACAUUCAAACUAGAAGUCAAUGUUUGUCGUUCUUGCUCUUGAUUGAUGGGACAGUCCUCUCGGUGGCUGAUGUGCCCAUUGUUGUUGUGGCAAUUACUCUGCGUUUUAAAUGAGUGAGAAUUGUUUAUGGUUUCUUGGUAAGAGACUAUUAAUUUGUUAUUGUUUCAAACUUUCAAUAGUGUCUUGCACAACGUAUAAUUUCAAUUUUUCAUCGGAGAAUAUAUCGUGUGUGAUUCUUCUUCUUAGCUUUUUAUGAUUCAAUUUUUGUCAUUAUUUAAUAAAACAGUAUAUCACAUUGAUCACGACCAUUCUUACACGACUUUGGGAGGCUCACUCACUGGUCACAAAAAUUCAUAAAAAAAUAUUAAUUAAUCUUAUCUACAAAAGGAGUAUACACUUUAUGAAGAGAAAACAAAAAAAACGUCUGAAACCAAAAUCAAGAUGUCACCUACUCAGUGGCUACCCACUAUCCUCACCGUAGUCUUCUUCUUCUUGAGCUUAGCUUCACCCUCACAUGGAAGCUCACAAGUUGGAUACGGCUACAUCGUUAGCUCAGUGGCCGUUGAUUCCAACCAGAAGGUCUUGACGGCGAAGCUUGAUCUGAUCAAACCAACGUCCGUUUACGCACCAGACGUUCAAACGCUAAACCUUCAUGUCAGGUCAUAUAAAUAAUCUUCUCCCUCUCUCUAAUCUAUCUACUGAACAAUAUUGAUAUGUAUUUACAUUUACAUAUAAUAUAUGUUACAGCUUGGAGACAAGUGAGCGUUUGAGAAUCAGAGUAACAGACUCUACUCAACAGAGAUGGGAGAUACCGGAAACCGUUAUCCCUCGCGCCGUAACCCACUCUCCUCGCCGUUACUUAACGGAAGAGAACAAUACCUUGGAAGAUCCAUCAUCGGACUUAGUUUUCACACUCCACAAAACGACGCCGUUCGGUUUCUCCGUCUCCAGACGCUCCUCCGGCGACGUCCUCUUCGACGCGUCGCCGGAUCCAUCGGAUCCGAACACCUACUUCGUCUUCAAAGACCAGUUCCUCCAACUAACCUCCGCCUUACCGGAAUCCCGAUCGAAUCUGUACGGUCUCGGAGAACACACGAAGCGAUCGUUCAAGCUGAUCCCGGGAGAUGCAUUGACUCUGUGGAACGCUGACAUCGGGAGUGAGAAUCCGGAUGUUAACCUGUACGGAUCGCAUCCGUUUUACAUGGACGUGAGAGGAUCUAACGGUCACGAUGAAGCGGGGAUGACUCACGGCGUUCUAUUGAUGAACAGCAAUGGAAUGGAUGUGAGGUAUGAUGGAAGUCGGAUUACUUAUAAUGUGAUUGGAGGUAUCAUUGAUCUGUAUGUGUUCGCCGGACCGUCGCCGGAGAUGGUGAUGAAUCAGUAUACAGAGUUUGUUGGAAGACCUGCACCUAUGCCUUAUUGGUCAUUUGGUAAGAGCUCUUUGCUCUCUGUGCAUUUUUACGAUACAAUGGUAGGGCUCUGAGGUCACAGGUUCGAACUUCGUUGAGAGAGAGAUUUGAUCUCAAAAAUAGUUUAAUUACAUGGUUUGGGCCUCGUCCUUGGAGAAUGUACGGAUCAAGAACUCUUCGUAGUCACUAAAAGAAAUUGAGAUGUUGUUUUGCUUUGAAAAUGUUUCUAUAAAUACUUAUUUUAUUGGGGGUUUAUUCUUUUUGGAAGGAUUCCAUCAGUGUCGGUAUGGAUACAACAAUGUGUCAGACCUUGAAUCUGUGGUUGAUGGAUAUGCAAAAGCUGGAAUACCUCUUGAGGUUAUGUGGACUGACAUAGACUACAUGGAUGGCUACAAAGACUUUACUUUGGACCCUGUGAACUUCCCGGAGGACAAGAUGAAAUCAUUCGUGGAUACACUUCACAAGAACGGUCAGAAGUACGUGCUGAUCUUGGAUCCAGGUAUAGACUAUAACACUAUCUCUUAAGAGUCUCUUAACAUAUUUGAUUCAAGAAAUGAACAUUUGGGCUUUGCUUGUAGGUAUUGGUGUGAAUAGCUCCUCUUACGGGACAUAUAACAGAGGAAUGGAAGCAGAUGUGUUCAUAAAACGAGAUGGUGAGCCUUAUCUCGGUGAAGUUUGGCCUGGGAAAGUAUACUACCCUGACUUCUUGAAUCCAUCUGCUGCAACUUACUGGAGCAACGAAAUCAAGAUGUUCUUGGAAACUCUCCCUUUGGAUGGUCUGUGGCUUGACAUGAACGAGUUGUCAAAUUUCAUUACUUCGCCUCUGUCCCCUGGAUCUUCACUCGAUGAUCCUCCUUACCAGAUCAACAACUUAGGGGGCAAAGCUUCUAUCAAUAAGAAGACAGUACCAGCAACAGCUAUCCAUUUUGGGAACGUUAGUGAAUACGAUGCGCAUAAUAUGUAUGGACUCUUGGAAGCUAAAGCCACUCACCAAGCUAUGGAGGAUAUAACGGGAAAGAGACCGUUUCUUUUGUCGAGAUCCACGUUCGUAAGCUCGGGGAAGUACACAGCUCAUUGGACAGGAGAUAACGCUGCGAAAUGGGAGGACUUGGCUUACUCGAUCCCGGGGAUACUCAACUUUGGACUGUUUGGGAUCCCAAUGGUUGGAGCUGACAUCUGUGGUUUCUCAGAUGAUACCACCGAGGAGCUAUGUCGUCGAUGGAUCCAGGUAGAGUGAUUAAUUCAUGUUCAUGUUCAUGUUCUUACUGAGUUCAGUGUUCUAACAUUGGCUCCUUAGUUUUUCAGCUUGGAGCGUUUUACCCUUUUGCAAGAGAUCAUUCGUCCAAAGGCACUGCUAGACAAGAACUAUACCUAUGGGAUUCGGUUGCUGCUUCCGCAAGAAAGGUUCUCGGCCUUCGUAUGAGACUCCUCCCACAUCUAUACACACUAAUGUACGAGGCUCACGUUAGUGGCGUCCCUAUAGCGCGGCCGCUCUUCUUCUCCUUCCCUAGAGACACUUACACCUAUGAGAUCAGCUCGCAGUUCUUGAUCGGUAAAAGCAUAAUGAUAUCUCCCGCGCUGGAAAAAGGGACAGUGUCCGUCGAUGCAUAUUUCCCCGCAGGGAACUGGUUCGACAUGUUUAACUAUUCGUUUGCCGUCGGUGGAAGUUCCGGCAAGCGUGUUAGUCUUGAUACUCCCGCCGAUCACGUCAAUGUUCAUGUUCGAGAAGGUAGUAAAUUUUAAGUAAUUUCCGGUUUGAUAAGGAACUUGAGAUUGAACCGAACUAACUAUUUGGACAGGUAGCAUUGUGGCUAUGCAAGGAGAAGCAAUGACGACAAGAGAAGCCAGAACGAAACCGUUUGAGCUUCUAGUUGUAGCCAGCAAGCUUGAGAACAUCUCGGGCCAACUGUUUCUCGAUGAUGGCGAAAACAUAAGGAUGGGAGAGGAAGGAGGGAACCGUGAUUGGACCCUGGUGAAGUUCCGGUGCUACGUAAACGGAAAAUCCGUGGUGCUGAGAUCAGAAGUGGUGAACCCGGAGUACGCGUCUAGGAUGAAAUGGAGCAUCGGGAAAGUGACGUUCGUUGGGUUUGAGAACGUGGAGAGCGUGAAAACAUACGAAGUUAGGACUGGGGAGAGGUUGAGGGGGCCAAGAAUCUCUCUUCUCAAGACUGUUGUGGACGAUGAUGAUCCCAAGUUUAUGAGUGUGGAGGUUUCUAGACUGGCGUUGCUUGUUGGGAAGAAGUUCGAGAUGCGAUUGAAAUUGACUUAAAGAAAAGGUAUCUAUUUUAUAAACCCAAUAAGAUGAUAAAUUUGUGGAUGCUUAAUAAUAAAUAAAAAGAGUAAAGAUUUCGCAACGUUAUUACAUCAAUCAAGUUCAUAAACAUUGGAGAAAAUUUUCAGACAAGAGGCUUCAGUUUGGUUCAUAGACACUGUAUUAAUAGCAGCGCAAGUCAAUCAAAGAGCUAAAGUAGUUACCUCUACGUCGCUUGCGAAUCCAACAUCAGAAAGAUCAUUCUCCAGAGCUUUCACCAGAGUUUCAAAGUGGGUUUUGGUUACACUGGUCAAAGUAGUUAGUUUUGUCCGAAAACCCUUGAAGUCUUGUUUUGGAGUGUCUUCAGGAUAUUGAAACACCUCUGAUUCCAACUCUACGCAUUUGUGGAGCCUCUCCAGACCAGACUCAGCCUCUCCUUGCAUAUACUCGAAAAACUGUCUCUUUUCCUGUUCAGAUUCAAGUAGAUAGUACCCGUAUGCAUAUGUCCAUUUCAGCACCCUUCUGCAUUCAAUGAUCUGAAGCCACGCAUCUGUGAUGAACCCGAGCUCAGUUUCUGGUAUGCAUUGUUUGUCACUAAGCUUCAUAACAUCCACUGAUAGGAACUUCUCUAGAUCCCCUAUAGCUUUUUGCCUCGACGUUUGAUUGCCUGCCCAGCGCUCAUAAUAAUGAGUGUAUUUCUCUAGCGAGUGCUUUGCCAUCUCUCGCUUCAUUUCAGCCUCAUCAUGCAGUCCUUGUCCCUUAGCCUUCGAAUACCGGUUGCAUGUAUAAGGCCCGCCAGUGCCUUCCCCGUGUUCCGACCAUGCGCCAAGGCAAAGCCAACAAAACUGAUGUCUGCAAGGUGGUGUGCAUGACAUGUGCAUGCAUCCACGGUUCUUUUCAAUUGGACGCUUACACUUGGGACAAGGCUUGGAAUUGUCGAGUAUCCACUUGGUAUUUUCAGCUUCAACGCUGUUCUUGCGUAUCCAUUGCGAAACCCUGUCACAAUCCACAGGACGGUGAGCGUCUUGGGUGCAAUUCCAGCAGAAGCUAUGCGAACACAAGCAUGAAACAUCGUAACUACUUCCGGUCCCGGUGGCAGAAAACUCAAUGGCAUGCUCACAUCCUGGGGCAGGACACCACUUGGUCUUUUUGUUUUCUUCCACAUAAGAUCUAAGAAAAUACCUAUCAUACUUGUCCUUGGCUUCAAAGGAAGCCAGUUUCUCGACCAUGUCUCGACCAACAGCAACUGGACAAGAUGGCUCAGGACAUUUUUGCAUCAAACAUCCCGGGCCAUCGUUGAUGGCUAUGCUGAUGUAACUUGUCCAGCAUGUAGAACAGAAAGCAUGACCACACAUAAUCGGUACAAUAUCUAUACGACAGAAGUAGUCAAAGCAUAUUCCACAAGCAACUUUUCCUCCUUCGGAAUAUGGAACAAUAACAGAUCCUCCUUCCAAGCCAGCACUUGUCCGAACUCUCCUCUCAUCCGCAAACCAUUCAUCAUUAACUUUACCAACAUUCCAGUGAUAGUGAAGAAGCAGAACACUAGCUUCGACCUUGCUUAGGGAGAGUAUCAUGGAAACUUGUGCAAUAUCACUCUCUUGUUGUCUACGUAUAUCUUCUUCCUUAAGAACGACAUAAUUCAUAUGGGAGCGAGGCGAGGAGAUCAUUGAGGAAUCGUCAUCGUCAUCCCCAAGGAAACCCGUGUCAUCUGUAUCAUCAUCAUGAUCGGCCCCGUCGUUGUAAUCACCUGCACCGUCGCUGUAAAGAUCUUCCUCUCCAGAUUCCAUAUAGUAGUCAUCGGAAUCCAUAAUCCUCUUCCCUUAGUCGCUACGGCAGACUAUGGUGUUGAUAGAUAUGCACAUAUACGUUUGUGUUAAAAAGAUAUUAUUCCAUAUUUUCCUAUGUUUUGUUUUACCUUUUGCAUAAUGAAUUUAGGAGGAGUCUCUUUGUAUUUACAAAUGUUCUAAGAUACAGUUGGUACAUCCGUAUAUACCGGUGUAUAUACAGUUGGUUUAGAUGGACACUUUUUUUUUUUGUCAACAGAUGAACACAAACAGAGCGUUUAUACAGUGUUUAUACAUAAACACCGUUUAUACCUUCACAAUUUAUAAGCUAUAUUUUAAAGGAAAUUUUAGUAAACAAUUAUAAUUUACCUGUUUGAUUCUUUUGAUUUCGUUUGAUCGUACCAGUUUAUGUUUUUUUUUCAAUAUUUCAUAAAUAGUUAUAACGUAUCAUUUAAAUUAUGUUUGCUAUAUAUAUUUUAUAUUUACAUAUAAUUUAUAUAAUUAUUUUAAUUAAUACUAUAAUAUUUAUUUAGAAUAUGACUAUCGUAUAUACUAUCUUAUCGUAUAUAUCCAAGUGCCAUACAGUAAUCAAUCAUCCGACUGGCGUAUAGCGUAUUUUAGAACAAUAGUAUUUACAUAUAUCUUUUUUUUCUUCUUUUGACAUAUUUUUUUUCUUUUAUUCUCUUUCUGUUAUUUUUAUUUUAGAUAACAUUCCAUAUUAAAAUAUUCUAAAAACUUCAAGAGAUUUCAUUACCUCUUUUAAUAUUCCAGCUAAUUAUUGUAAUAAUUUAAUAUAUGAAAUUUUAAUAUGUGAUAUUCUCUCGUUUUAAGGGAAUAAAAAUAUUUUAUCUUCUUAAUAAAAUAUUAAUAUUAUUUUAUAUAGUUUAUUAGCAUAUUUGACCUCAAUUGUUUUGCAUUCAUAUCACGAGUCUUUUGCAUUCGAUUAGUUUUAAAUUUUUAAUUGUCCUCGUUUAACCCAAAAAUUUUAAGAAUAUUUUUUUUGUCACACAUACACUUAAUUUUAAAAAUGUUAAAAUUUCUAAUUACCCUCGUUUAACCCAAAAAACGUUAAAACCACAAUUAAGCGUUUGGCUGCACGUCCCUAAGUUUGAUUUAUUCCUAAAUCCUACGUAGUCACGGAGUACUUUAUGUCACUUAAAGGUAUUAGCGCCGACUAGUUUCGGAUCAGGGAUGACUACGGGUUGCGGAAAGCUCAUAAGAGCGACUACGGACUGUGGAACAUUCUUGUUUAAAAAAAAAACGUUAAAACCACAUAAUUCUAGAUAUUAAUAAUCGCUUUAUAUAUCAAACCACGAGAGCAGACCAGCGGGUGAACUCCAGAAAAAAAAACAAACCAUUUCACUUUACUUUUCUUUUCAAAGUCUGUCUUGUCGAUUUAUCAAAGUCCGUCUUUCUCAAGGCUUCGAGACAGAUUCGUAACUUCUCAGUGUUUUUCCUCUUAAUCUUCGCACUAUUUGAUUUUCUUUUUGCCUCUAAACUCGACACGUGGACUAUCAUCCUCCACUUAGUUUUCAUCAAGUAGCUAUUAGCUCAGGGGUCCGCUUACGUUCUCAGAUCAACUCUCCGACGGUUGCAAAGGUGAUCGCUCAUUGCCUUUUCCAGUGAAGUAAUUAGCGAUUGGAUCAAAGCUACUUCAGUGACUAGCGACGAGAUCUAAGUAACUUAGGAUUGAUAAUAGUGUUCAAAGGAUGCAGACUAUCUCUAGGGUUCUACAAGAAGGUAAAGAGAACGGAAUCUUGGUUAGGACAGGACAGUAUAAGUCGUUUAGACCGAAACUGCUUCUUCUCCUAGGUCUUUUUCUUGCUGUUGUUGUCACUAUCUUCAUCAUUAGUGUCUCUACAAUCAACUCCACUGAACUACAAAGUGUAGUAACCACGGUUACUUCCACCUUUGUCCCAUGCCGUGAAGACGAACCGAACAGUUUAGGUAAAUGGAUACAACCUCCUACGGUUCUGAUGCACAACAUGACCGAUGAAGAGCUUCUUUGGCGUGCCUCUCUAUGGCCUCGGAGAAAAGGAUAUCCUUUUAAAAGGGUUCCAAAGAUUGCCUUUAUGUUCUUGACCAAAGGCCCCUUGCCACUUGCUUCGCUUUGGGAGAGGUUCUUGAAGGGUCACAAGGGGCUUUACUCUGUUUACGUUCAUCCGGAUCCGUCUUUUAAUGCCAAGUUUCCAGCUGAUUCUGUUUUCUACAAGAGGCAGAUACCGAGUCAGGUACGCUUCUUAUGAGUCUCUUUCGCUAUAGACGAUUUAAUAAAGAUUUCAAUAGUUGAGUUAUUCUGGGGCUGAAUGUUUCGUCCGGCUUGGUCCAGGACCUGCCUCUUGGGAUUACUAAUCACAUAUAUCAGAAAACGUAACUCUUGAAUCAGACUUGUGUCUUUAGUAGUAACUCUUGGUUAUGUAUUUGAUUUGGUUGUAACUUGAAUGUGUGUACAUCACUGAGCAGGUUGCAGAAUGGGGGAGAAUGACCAUGUGCGAUGCAGAGAAGCGGCUCCUCGCCAACGCGCUUCUCGAUAUCUCCAACGAAUGGUUUGUCCUAGUCUCAGAGUCGUGCAUCCCUCUCUACAACUUCACAACGAUCUACACCUACUUAAGCCAAUCAAAACACAGCUUCAUCGGUGCUGUUGACGACCCUGGACCCUUCGGUCGAGGCCGAUACAACGACAACAUGGAGCCUGAAGUUCCCAUCGCCAAAUGGCGAAAAGGGCCACAAUGGUUUGAGGUAGACCGGAACCUGGCAGCUACCAUUGUGAAAGACGCAUUGUAUCACCAGAAAUUCAGAGAGUUUUGUAGGCCUGCUUGCUAUUCAGACGAGCAUUAUUUCCCUACGAUGCUCACUAUUGAGAAACCGACGGCGUUGGCUAACCGGAGCGUGACGUGGACGGACUGGUCUAGAGGCGGGCCCCACCCGGCUACGUUUGGGAGGUCGGAUAUUACAGAGGAGUUCUUUGGAAAGAUCUUUGAUGGAGAGAACUGCAGUUACAAUGGUCGUAACACUUCCAUGUGUUAUCUUUUCGCGAGGAAGUUUGCUCCUAGUGCUUUAGAGCCGCUGCUCCACAUUGCUCCCAAGAUUAUGGGGUUUUGAGUUAGUACAGUAGUGUCUAUGAUACGGACAGGAUAUGGAUUAUAUGAGAUAUUUUGCGCCAAUAUCCAUUUUAUUUGUUUGUUUUAUACAAGUUUGGAAUAAACGAGGUAUUAUAACUGAGAACGUUGCACAACAGGAUCUUGUAACUUUAGACGUCAAAAGAAAAAACUAUGUAGCUCAAUUUUUUUGGUUCCUGACGUUAAGCCCGAUGCUUAAAUUAGAUAAGAAGCUAUAAGGUUAGGUUAUAAGUACUGAAAUACUACCUACAGCACAAGUGGCAAUGGGAACAUAACACGGACACAGGUGUAUAAACACAUUUUUAACACAUUCACUCUCUUUUCCUUUAUUUUCUUUUUGUUAUUUUUUGUUUUAGAUAAAAAUCCAUAUUAAAAUAUUCUAACAAGAUUUUAUUAAUUUUUAUAGAACACAAGAAAAUUUCAUUACCAUUUUUAAUAUUCUAACUAAUUAGUUUAAUCAUUUUAAUAUAUGGAAAUUUAAUUUGAGCUUAUUAAACAUUUUGUGGUUUUAAGGGAAUAUUUAUAUUUUAUUUAAUAAAUAUUAAUAUUAUAUAUAAAUGGUAAACAAUACUAAUAUAUUUUUCUUUUUGCACAGUUUUUUAAAGCUGAUAUUACAAUUAUAAAUCAUAUUAAAUAGAUGAUUUCACAACCGAUAAAUAAUGAGGAUUUUAUGUUUAAAUGCAUUAUUCCAACCGUCUUAUAAAAAUUUGACCAUGUUUAUUUGCACAAUGCUAAAAAAAAGUCUGCAAGGAUUCUCACCCAUAAUGUGUCUACUUGUUUAAUAAUCCGGAACUGGAAAAAGGGAGGUUACCCACUGUUCAGUAGCCUAUUUGACCUCAAUUGUUUUUGCAUUAACAUAUCGCCACGAGUCUUCUGCAUUCAUUAUUCGAUUACUUUUAGUUGCCCUCGUUUAACUCAUAAACUUUAUACUAAUGUUCAAAGGCUGCAGACUAUAGUGUUCAAAUUGAUACUUAAAGAUUGAUAUAGAGUCUCUCUAUAGCGUUCAAAGGAUGCGGUCUAUGGUUGUACAGUUGGAAGAAGGGAAAGAUAACGGAAUCUCGGUUAGGACAGAACAGUAUAAGUCAUUUAGACCGCAACUGCUUCUUGUCCUAGGUCUUUUUCUUGCUGGUGUUGUUACUAUCUUCAUCAUUAGUACAAACAAGUAUACUGGACUACAAAGUGUAGUAACCACAGUCACUUCUAGCUUUGUCCCACGCCGCGAGGAGGAGCCUGACGGUUUAAGUAAAUGGAUACAACCUCCUGGGGUUCUGAUGCAUAACAUGAGCGAUGAAGAGCUUCUUUGGCGAGCUUCUUUCUGGCCUCGGAGAAAAGGAUAUCCGUUUAAAAGGGUUCCAAAGAUUGCCUUUAUGUUCUUGACAAGAGGCCCCUUGCCUCUUGCUUCGCUUUGGGAGAGGUUUUUGAAAGGUCACAAGGGGCUUUACUCGGUUUACAUUCAUCCCCAUCCAUCUUAUACAGCCAAGUUUCCAGCUGAUUCUGUUUUCUACCAGAGGCAGAUACCAAGUCAGGUCCGUAAAUUUUUGUUAAUGCUUUUUUAACAAUAAAAUGUUCAAAUAGAUAAUGGCUUUGUAAUUAUUUUAAUUUGUAUUUAUUAAAAAUUAUUUAUAUUUUUUAAUAAUAUUUAAGUUUAAAUAUUUUUGCUACUAGUAACAAAUAUUUCUAGAUCCGCUAUUAAUAUCUAGAAAACAUCGUUGCGCAGCUUGCACAAUGGGGGAGAAUGAACAUGUGCGAGGCAGAGAGGCGGCUUCUCGCCAACGCCCUGCUAGAUAUCUCUAACGAAUGGUUUGUUCUAGUCUCAGAGUCAUGCAUCCCCCUCUUCAACUUCACAACAAUCUACACCUACUUAAGCCAAUCAAAACACAGCUUCAUGGAUGCUUUCGAUGACAAUGGACCCUUCGGUCGAGGCCGCUACAACGAGAACAUGGAACCUGAAGUUCCCAUUGCCAAAUGGAGAAAAGGGUCACAAUGGUUUGAGGUAGACCGGGACCUGGCAGCUACCAUUGUCAAAGACACAUUAUAUUACCCGAAAUUCAGAGAGAUUUGUAGGCCUGCUUGCUUUUCAGACGAGCAUUAUUUGCCUACGAUGUUGACUAUUGAGAAACCAAUGGCGUUGGCUAACCGGAGCAUGACGUGGACCGACUGGUCUAGAGGUGGCUCUCAUCCGGCUACGUUCGGGGAAUCAGACAUUACAGAGAACUUCUUUCAAAAGAUAUUUGAUGGUGUGAAUUGCACUUACAAUGGUCGUAACACUUCUAUGUGUUAUCUCUUUGCGAGGAAGUUUGCUCCUAGUGCUUUGGAGCCGUUGCUUCACAUUGCUCCCAAGAUUAUGGGGUUUUAGAGAUUUUACGCCAAUAUCAUUUUAUUUUGUUUGUUUUUAAUACAAGUUUGGAGGUUAAGCAUGAUGCUAAAGUCAGAUAAGAAACUAAAAGUUUGGUCAUAAAACCGUAUAGACAAUAGGACAAAGGCUGAUAAGGCAGGCUCUUGUCUCCAACUCAUCACCUUAUGUCUUAUGAUUCUUAGAAGUUAGUAGUAAUUUGUUAACCGACCAAGGUUUUGUUUGGUUUGAAUGUGAAUACUUAAUACUUGGCAAAAGUGGCAUUGUGGCAAUGGGACAGAACACAGCCAGGUGUAGACGCACUUUUACACCUACCGAACUUCUCGAACCCAUCAAGAGCCUUGCCAUUUGCCAACACUUCAACCAUCUGUCUUUCUCUUAAUAAAAAAAUAAUCCAAUGGGCAAAAUUCAUUGUUUAAAAGAUUUCAGCAGGCUAAUGUUUAUUUUAUUGGAAUGCAGAAAGGAUACGAUAAUGCGGAAUUUAUUUAUUCGUUAUUGUUUACCACGUAUAACCUAUGGUUUAUUUAGAAUAGAGAGAAAUUCAAGAAAGGGUUCACAGCUGUGAGUACCGCCACCUAGGUAAACCGGGGCGUCUAGCUCUGGUGGUAAAGGGUUCACAGCUGUGAGUACCGCCACCUAGGUUCGAUUCCCGGCCACUGCGAAAUUUAACAUUCGGGCCGCAGCGACACAGAUUAGUCCCUUGGGCCUGGGAAGCCUUUGGGGAAACUGUGUAUAAUUCAAAAAAAAAAAAAAAGAGAAUCCACCAACUUAUCGAAAGCUAAUGAAGAAAGUAGUUUUUGUCUUUCUUCAAAACGAUGUUCACCACACACAAAAAGGAAGGAUAAAUGUUCCAUCUAUACAACUAAUCUUUAGCAUUUUAUUCAAAAGGUAGACAAAUCAAAACGUAUACAUUUUAAAUGCGGUUUUACUUUGAACAAAAAUGGUAAUUGCGGAAGAUUCGUUAUUAACAUCCUAAUCACAAAAAUAGAAAAUCAACAUUGCUUGGAGAAAUUAAGGACCGCCUAUUCUUCUAGACAUAUCUUCUACGUAAUUAAAAUGCUCUUUAGCACUAAACCGUGUUACAAUGUGAUUCCCACUCUCUCCAAACAAAUACAAGUCUGCACAUCUCGCCCGUUUCUUUCACGGUACCGCGUGACUUUGAAAAAAAAAAUGGACAGCGCAUCAUUAUUUUCACGCGCCAAACCAUCACAUUUCUCACCGACCGUUGUGCCUUUUAUCAAGGCUGAAGAGUUAGAUGCACGCGCCUCGGUGAGCGUUUAAAACACGGCACAUAUGUUAAAAACGGCGCCGUAACAGAGAGACGAUGACCUGUCGAAAUCUCAGUAAAAGAAUAUGGACCGUUGAUUGUCAUGAUUCGCGGGACCCGCAGGUGGACCAGCUGUAAUUGCAAGGAUUUCUAAUGCUGGAAAGUCCGGUUACCUAAACCCAGCUAAACCGGAUAUGCUCAACCUCUUUAUAAACGCCUCACCACAUUGCUAAUUUCACCAAAAAACCUUCAGAGCUUUAAAACAUUUCGAAUCAACAAAAACCCUAGCCUCCUCCUUUUCUUGCUCUCUCUCUCUCUACAAAUCUCUGAAAUGGCGAUCUCAAAGGCCUCCGUUGUUGCUCUCGUCGCGGUGAUCGUCUCCGUCGUUGCUACCGUCGCUUCAGCUCAGUCUGAGUCUCCGGCGCCAAGCCCCACUUCUGGAUCUGGUGCCUUCUCGCCGUCCAUCGUGUCAGCUGGCGUUGCAGCCGUCGCGGCUCUUGUGUUCGGCUCUGCUCUUCGGAUCUAAGUCUUUGUGAUGGCGAUUCGUACAGAGAUAUUGUUUUGAAAAUUUUUAUAGCAUUAUUGAUGAUAUUGGUGUGUAUUCUUGAGCUAUAGAUCUCUUUCUAUUGUGUCUUUGUUACCACUUUGCGAUAUUGUUUUUGAUUAUGAUAUGAUUCUAUUCUAUUUAUGGAUGUUUCUCAGAUGUUUCUUCGCCUUCUUCGCUUAAAUCGUUAUACGAGCUUGUUUUACAAAUCACAUGAUCGAAACUUUGCUAGAAAUUUGAUUAUAAUCUGAAGAUAAUUGUGAUUGUUACUUGGAUUAAUUUGAACUGAGUUAUAUUUUGGUCGAAAUUGAAUAAGAAUAUGAUCUAAGCUAAAAUUAAAAAAAAAAAAAAUAUAUAUAUAUAUAUAUAUAUAUUUUUUUUUUAAUCUGAAAACAUAAAUACAAGAACUAAAAAUGGAGUUAAUUCAUAAACCAUGUGAUACGAAAAUCAAUACACACUACGGGUAAAUGAUUUAAGAUUGUAACGCUCCAAUGUGCAAUGGAUUGGUGCAUGGUUCAGUUUUGCUUCGAGAUAAUAACAUCCGGUUUUUAAAAUUCCAUGUAGUUUCGGAAUUAGUCAGAACUACAGUCUACAGUGCUCAUAUAGUGAUAUGAAUCCGACAUUGUUUUGAAAUUUUGCGGAAUUUUGCGUGUAAAAUCAAUAUGAAGAAUGAGACUUUAGGCUACAUAAACGUGUUCUUUUGUUCUCAUUACAAGACAAGACAGCAAAAGAAACCGUUAUUAACGGAUUCAACGCUUCCUUAAUGGAAUCGAGAAAAAAAAUAGUUUGGGGAUUUAUUUGUUGAUAGGAAAAGUUGAAGACUUUUUUCUUUGAAGAAAAUUCAAGCAUUUUUUCCAGACGGUGAAGAAUAAUCAACUGUUGAUUAGUUGUACAUUUAGCAUUUGGAUGUGAUGAAGGAAAACUAUAACGCGUUGGAAUUACUAAUUAAUGUGAUUUGAUCAAUCUAGGUUCUAUAAUUAGUUAAUUACCUUAAACAAAUCAGCCAGGGCACAAAAAUUUACAAAUGAAUAGAGGAAAAAGUAGAGGGGUCAAUUAACGUAAAACAUAAAACAUCAGGGGUUUAUAUGCAAAUUACUAAUAAAGAAAAAGAACCCUGGAGGAGAUUGGCGAGGGUUUUAGUAGCUUCUCGCAUUUUUGGCUCAAACUCCGCGUCAAACUUCAAAACCAACAGAUUCGGAUACUCCGAGGUCAUUAGAUCGAAUCCUCUUUGCGGAGAAGAUGCAAUCGAUUCGUAGCGGCACAAGGCUGCUCCAGAGGAACCGUUUCUCAAUCUCCAACACUCUUCGUUUCACUUCGUCUUCUCCCGCAAGCUUGUCCGAGAAUGAAUCGAGGAGGCUAGGAGGAGGGUUUGAUUCAUUCCGUUCCACCAGAGCUUUCGAUUCGCCAGCGACGUAUCUCAUCAGCUCGUUGACAAAGGCUGUUUCUUUCUCUUCCGCACUACCUGUAAGCAAGCCACUUCUCUCAUUUCAGCUAAUCAUGGUGUAUUGAUAUUGUUAUCGGUUUGUAGAAAUGUGGAGGAUGAUUAGUUGGCAAUAGAGAUCUAAUUACCAAAUGGGUUGUGUAAAAGGAAGAAACUUUGCUCAGAUUUCGUCUUCCUUCCACAUUUGAAUUUAGCUCAGAGUGUUUGUGUGUGGGUACUUUUGAUCUUUAGCUCAAAAUUGAAUGCUUCAUUGUCCUAAGCAUCAUCAAUUUUUGUUUAUUUCCUUAAGUUAUUUGCUGAGCCUAUCUCGUUUGGUAGUUAAAGGUUACAGUUUCGUGCUGUUGUUUUUUCAAAGUUUUAUGCUUUCACAAAUUGUUCUGCUUUAUAGCUUUCCUGGAUGUUUGGGUCACAGACUCUAGGACAGUGCAUUUAGUUUAGGCUUCUUUGUGUUUGAGACCUUCUCUGACUUUUAAUGGGGGUUGGGAAAAUGUUUGGCAGAAACAAAACUUUACGUAUUCGUCGAGGUGCUUUUCCACCGUUGGAGAUUCUGCUCAGUCUGCUCCUCAAGGAUUCCCUGGGUCAGCUCCUGAUGCGCCUCCAAGAAUCAAGUUCAAGCGGCUUGAUAAAACCGCCAAGCAUAUAAUGCAGGUACAACUCCUACUUUGACGAUUGGUUGUGGAUUAAUACAUCACUGUCACGUUUACAAAAGUCACAAUCUUGUGCAGAUUGUAGACAAGGAGGCAGUUGAGGAAGUGAGAACUCGUAGAGAGAUACCGGAGAUAAGGCCCGGUUACAUUGUGCAGCUCAAAGUGGUAACUACUUUUGAACUCGUACCAGAUUGUCUUUUCUUUUUCUUCGAGAAUGAGAUCAAAAUAUCGUAUAACUUGGGAAGAUUAAUACUUUCAUAGGCUUCAUUGCAUUUAACUUUGUUUGAAACAGGAAGUGCCUGAGAACAAGAGGCGUGUUUCAAUCGUAAAAGGCAUUGUCAUAGCAAGGCGUAAUGCUGGUCUUAACUCUACGUUUAGGAUUAGAAGGCUCGUGGCUGGAGUGGGAGUCGAAUCCAUGUUCCCCUUGUAAGUAUUUUAACCUCUUGACCUCUCUCCUAAAGGCAAAGAUGAAUGUACAUUUUUAGAGCCUCAUAUAGCAUGCGCAAAAGGCUCAUUUGUAUUAGGAAAAGCUAGUGAUAUGUGAGUGUGGGUGUUUGUUGAUGACAGGUAUUCUCCAAACCUGAGGGAGAUUAAGGUGUUGGACAAGAAGAGAGUAAGAAGAGCGAAACUUUAUUACCUCAGAGACAAGAUGAACGCUCUCAAGAAGCAUUAGCUCCCGUAAUCAUCAUUCAGAAAAGAGUACUCUACGCUCAUAAACAAAAUCUUGAGUGUUUUUCUUUUAUGACGACUCUGCUUUGAGUCAACAUAUUGGACUAUGUAAUGUUAUUGAAUAAUGAUGGAACCCUUCAGGCUAUUUUUUUUUCUACAUGUUCCAAUAAAUUGAGCUUCAUUAUGAGUAAUCUAUAUCCAUCUUCAAAAGAAGGUGACAAAGUUCAUUAUGCUCUUAACUGUCAAAGCAACAAAGUUAGGCUCAAAAAGCUGUUGUGUGGUUGGAGAUAAACUGCGAUUGUAUCCCAAAUGAAUCAACAACCGCACUUUACAAGCACAAACGUAGAUAUUUGCGUUUGAAACAACUCAAGGGAAUAGUAAGGUAUCUGGUAGUGUACUAAUAUAUCUAUUUCUUCUUAUUUUUGCUUCUGUCAUUCUUCUUCUUCUCGUUGUUCUUGUGCUUGUCAUUCUCAUUCCUCCCUUGUGUCUCCUUGUCAUUCUCACUCUUAUUCUUACUCUUCCCCGGAAGCUCCAUCGGAGCAGGAUCCGUCUCUGAACCUGAAACAACCAACAAGAUGAAGAAUAAGACUUGUGAAAAAGAAAGAUAUACAAUACGCCUAAGAACAAGAAAGUGAACGACCUUUCAAGUAAAUGGAGUUGUAAUGUACCCCAACCAAAUGGCUCAAGUAAACAACUCUCUCGAGUGUCAAAGACUUAGGAACAAUCUCCAUGGAAGGUACUUCUUUCUCUGACGUAAUGACUACUAUCUUCACCCCAAACUGCAUAAUCGCGAAUACUUGUUCAUUAAGCUAAAACAAGCGAAAGAAUAAAAGAAAUCAAAGUAAAGAGAUUAUUAUAAAGAAGUUAACCGUAUCAGCAGCAGCCUGCAACGUAACGUUAUCACCCCACACGCCGUUCUUGGACAUGUUCUUGACAUACUCGGAGUAGUCCUUGGGAAGAUCGUUUGCUCUUUUUUUACUCGAGUCCAUCUCAACAAACUCUCUAUAAAUUUUUGGACAAGUUUUAAGCUGAAAUAAUUCAUAUAACAACAUGAGAGUCAGUCCAUGUUAACAAAUCAUAUAACCUCAUGAGAGUCAUAUACCUGUUUAACUAUUCUUUCUCGAACUUUCUCAUGAUACUCGGGGCACCUGAAGAGCUGAUCAGCUAAAGAGCUAAACUGUAACAUAAUAAUUAACAAACACUAAUGAUGUGAUAAAGGAGGGGGUUUAGAAAACAUUAAUUAAUUAGUAUUAUUACCUGGCAGUUUCCAUCACUUUUAAUCUUCGUCUCGAUGAAACCUUCCCACUCUAACCUAAAAAAUCCGGAAGAGUAAUCAGUUAAAACACUGAUGAUUAAACAAGAUUUGAAAAGAAUAAUCCAUCGUUAGUUCGUUUACCUUGACUCGAGUCUUUUCUUGUGCUCGUUAGACAUUGCUUACGUCUUUUCUCGGCGACGAUCGGUUACUGAUUGGGUGAUGGUUAACAAUAUACUGUGUCGCUUGAGCGGCCGAUUGGUAUUUAUAGAUUUUCUAUAUUAUGAGAAAAAGAUGGGCUUUUUCAAUUUUGUAUGGUUAGGGUUGUUAUGGGCCUACCGUUAACGGCCCAAUUAAUCAGAAGAAUCUUUAGGCCCACUGGCUCGUCUAUGCAUAAAUAAAUUACACACACAUGCGAAUAAUUUAACAAGAGUCGGAAGAAUCUUAGCUGAUAAACUGAUAGAUAUAACAAAAAGAACUCUCAGACAACAUAAUCUUAUGUUUAUUCAAGUUUUCCACAAAAAACUUAGAAGUGUACUUGGUAUCUCCAUCACAAGAAACAUUGCAUUGAAACGUCCACGUUUUAUUGGACCCAAGCCUUUGGUAACAAUCGGCUGAAAGCGAAAACUCGCUUUGGCAUUGGUAAGGAGGGUUUUUGAUCACUUGUUCCACCAGUGCAAGAAAUCCUUGCGCCUGUUGAUUUUCUUCUGAAGCUGGAGGAGUCCAUAGAGCAAUGCCUCAGCGGUUGGAGGGCAUCCAGGGACGUAGAUGUCCACUGGGACAAUUCUGUCGCACCCUCGAACCACUGAGUAGGAGUAGUGGUAGUAUCCACCUCCGUUGGCGCAGCUUCCCAUUGAAAUCACCCACCUUGGCUCCGGCAUCUGGUCAUAAACCCUGUCUCAUUGUUUCCAGAUAUUAGAAACAAGGAACUUCUUUCAAACAUGAUACACAAGAACAGCAGCUUUAAAAAACAUCCACAUAGACUACGCCAAUUCUGCCAGAUCCAAGACUGAUUUGAAUAGAGCGUUAUGAACAUAUCUCUAAAUACCAGUUCGAUCACUGAUAGGUUACUCAACAUGAUGACUGAUCUAGUGAAAAUGCAUAUAAUUUUGCUCGUCUAAGUGGUAGAUGUUUUGAGGUUGACUUGGGACAUUUUCUAAUGAACCUUUAAAUUAUCAGAGAUGAUCCACAUAUACACUUCCCUCAAUACUACCAGACAAAAAAGGCAAUUCGAAGAGACGAGUUCAGAACCUAUCUCUAAACACUGAUAGUUUCUUCAGCACAAGAACUAACAUAUACCAAUUCAUAAAAAGCAGUCAAAUAAUCUCUCAGAUGCAACUAAUAUUUGCUCGGCUCAGUGGUUGAAAUCGCCACAAUGUAAUAGCCACAAGGUGGUUACUUGUGGCUAUUACAUUGACUUGCGAUAUUUUCUAUAUCUACAUGUUUGGGCAUAAAGACAUCAUUGAGCUCAGCUUCCUAAACAAAAACCUUACGCAUACAAUUUUUAAGAAACAUGAUUCUCGGCAAAAAAAAAACAAAGAUAUGCAGUUGAAUGAAGGGUUCAUAACAUCAAACAAGAGAGAUAGGAAUCGAAUCAAGUCCCUCAUGUGUCAAUUUUCCAUUAACAAUACAACUCGUAAUAAAAUGGACAUCAGGUCUCAAAGACAACCAAGCAAAAUCAUCAAACAAGCACGAUUUUAAACAGUCAGCAAAAAAGGAACAACAAAACCUAAUUACAAUGAUGGCUGAGACGACACUAACACAUUUUUCCCAAAGCUAGAGAAUAUGAAACCCUUAUCUCCCCACCACAAAAGACGAGCACAGAGGUUACACUGAUAUAGCUACUCUUCAUCUCUGUAUACUAGAUUUCACCUAAGUUAAUGAAUUUCAAACCAAAAUUUCUCAAGAACUCUGCGCUAGACAAUGAAUAUGAACGAUAUGGCUUCCCAGGUCAGUCAUAUAUUCAUACAGAAACUCUCAAUUUGACAGGGACCAAGCAACACAAUCAGAAUAUAUGAAACCUACAUCGCCGGGAAAGAGAUAACUCCAACAAUCACAAUCAUAAUCUCCUGAAAACGUAAUUCUACUCUCAGUGAUAUCCGAGAUCCAUAGGAAAGGGAGAGAGAGAGAAGUAGAGAGGCGUACUUGCGAAGAGCAGGAGCCAUCUUGUUAGUAAGCGUCCCGGCGACAAUCAUACAAUCCGAUUGACGAGGACUAGGCCUAAAGAUGAUACCGAAUCGAUCCAGAUCGUAGCGAGCAGCACCGGUAUGCAUCAUUUCCACGGCGCAGCACGCGAGGCCGAAGGUCAUGGGCCAGAUCGAUCCCCUGCGAGCCCAGUUCAUGAGGUCAUCGACCUUCGAGAUCACGAACUCCGCCGUCUUCGAGAGACCCGGCGGAGGAGGGGAGGGGUAGGGNNNNNNNNNNNNNNNNNNNNNNNNNNNNNNNNNNNNNNNNNNNNNNNNNNNNNNNNNNNNNNNNNNNNNNNNNNNNNNNNNNNNNNNNNNNNNNNNNNNNNNNNNNNNNNNNNNNNNNNNNNNNNNNNNNNNNNNNNNNNNNNNNNNNNNNNNNNNNNNNNNNNNNNNNNNNNNNNNNNNNNNNNNNNNNNNNNNNNNNNNNNNNNNNNNNNNNNNNNNNNNNNNNNNNNNNNNNNNNNNNNNNNNNNNNNNNNNNNNNNNNNNNNNNNNNNNNNNNNNNNNNNNNNNNNNNNNNNNNNNNNNNNNNNNNNNNNNNNNNNNNNNNNNNNNNNNNNNNNNNNNNNNNNNNNNNNNNNNNNNNNNNNNNNNNNNNNNNNNNNNNNNNNNNNNNNNNNNNNNNNNNNNNNNNNNNNNNNNNNNNNNNNNNNNNNNNNNNNNNNNNNNNNNNNNNNNNNNNNNNNNNNNNNNNNNNNNNNNNNNNNNNNNNNNNNNNNNNNNNNNNNNNNNNNNNNNNNNNNNNNNNNNNNNNNNNNNNNNNNNNNNNNNNNNNNNNNNNNNNNNNNNNNNNNNNNNNNNNNNNNNNNNNNNNNNNNNNNNNNNNNNNNNNNNNNNNNNNNNNNNNNNNNNNNNNNNNNNNNNNNNNNNNNNNNNNNNNNNNNNNNNNNNNNNNNNNNNNNNNNNNNNNNNNNNNNNNNNNNNNNNNNNNNNNNNNNNNNNNNNNNNNNNNNNNNNNNNNNNNNNNNNNNNNNNNNNNNNNNNNNNNNNNNNNNNNNNNNNNNNNNNNNNNNNNNNNNNNNNNNNNNNNNNNNNNNNNNNNNNNNNNNNNNNNNNNNNNNNNNNNNNNNNNNNNNNNNNNNNNNNNNNNNNNNNNNNNNNNNNNNNNNNNNNNNNNNNNNNNNNNNNNNNNNNNNNNNNNNNNNNNNNNNNNNNNNNNNNNNNNNNNNNNNNNNNNNNNNNNNNNNNNNNNNNNNNNNNNNNGAAAUUUAACAUUCGGGCCGCAGCGACACAGAUUAGUCCCUUGGGCCUGGGAAGCCUUUGGGGAAACUGUGUAUAAUUCAAAAAAAAAAAAAAAGAGAAUCCACCAACUUAUCGAAAGCUAAUGAAGAAAGUAGUUUUUGUCUUUCUUCAAAACGAUGUUCACCACACACAAAAAGGAAGGAUAAAUGUUCCAUCUAUACAACUAAUCUUUAGCAUUUUAUUCAAAAGGUAGACAAAUCAAAACGUAUACAUUUUAAAUGCGGUUUUACUUUGAACAAAAAUGGUAAUUGCGGAAGAUUCGUUAUUAACAUCCUAAUCACAAAAAUAGAAAAUCAACAUUGCUUGGAGAAAUUAAGGACCGCCUAUUCUUCUAGACAUAUCUUCUACGUAAUUAAAAUGCUCUUUAGCACUAAACCGUGUUACAAUGUGAUUCCCACUCUCUCCAAACAAAUACAAGUCUGCACAUCUCGCCCGUUUCUUUCACGGUACCGCGUGACUUUGAAAAAAAAAAUGGACAGCGCAUCAUUAUUUUCACGCGCCAAACCAUCACAUUUCUCACCGACCGUUGUGCCUUUUAUCAAGGCUGAAGAGUUAGAUGCACGCGCCUCGGUGAGCGUUUAAAACACGGCACAUAUGUUAAAAACGGCGCCGUAACAGAGAGACGAUGACCUGUCGAAAUCUCAGUAAAAGAAUAUGGACCGUUGAUUGUCAUGAUUCGCGGGACCCGCAGGUGGACCAGCUGUAAUUGCAAGGAUUUCUAAUGCUGGAAAGUCCGGUUACCUAAACCCAGCUAAACCGGAUAUGCUCAACCUCUUUAUAAACGCCUCACCACAUUGCUAAUUUCACCAAAAAACCUUCAGAGCUUUAAAACAUUUCGAAUCAACAAAAACCCUAGCCUCCUCCUUUUCUUGCUCUCUCUCUCUCUACAAAUCUCUGAAAUGGCGAUCUCAAAGGCCUCCGUUGUUGCUCUCGUCGCGGUGAUCGUCUCCGUCGUUGCUACCGUCGCUUCAGCUCAGUCUGAGUCUCCGGCGCCAAGCCCCACUUCUGGAUCUGGUGCCUUCUCGCCGUCCAUCGUGUCAGGAGGCGUUGCAGCCGUCGCGGCUCUUGUGUUCGGCUCUGCUCUUCGGAUCUAAGUCUUUGUGAUGGCGAUUCGUACAGAGAUAUUGUUUUGAAAAUUUUUAUAGCAUUAUUGAUGAUAUUGGUGUGUAUUCUUGAGCUAUAGAUCUCUUUCUAUUGUGUCUUUGUUACCACUUUGCGAUAUUGUUUUUGAUUAUGAUAUGAUUCUAUUCUAUUUAUGGAUGUUUCUCAGAUGUUUCUUCGCCUUCUUCGCUUAAAUCGUUAUACGAGCUUGUUUUACAAAUCACAUGAUCGAAACUUUGCUAGAAAUUUGAUUAUAAUCUGAAGAUAAUUGUGAUUGUUACUUGGAUUAAUUUGAACUGAGUUAUAUUUUGGUCGAA